AGUGACGAUAGCCUAGGAGAUACACCUGUACCCAUGCCGAACACAGCAGUUAAGCCCUAGAACGCCGGAAGUAGUUGGGGGUUGCCCCCUGUGAGAUAAGGAAGUCGCU
rnacentral:rRNA from 1 species